rnacentral:rRNA from 1 species
ACCUUGUUACGACUUCUCCUUCCUCUAAGUGUUAAGGUUCACAAAACUCCCAUUUCGGGCACGAACGCGCCACAAAACGGUCCGAAUAAUUCACCGGAACACUCAAUCGGUA